rnacentral:rRNA from 1 species
GGGGAAUAUUGGACAAUGGGCGAAAGCCUGAUCCAGCCAUGCCGCGUGAGUGAUGAAGGCCUUAGGGUUGUAAAGCUCUUUCGCCGAGGACGAUAAUGACGGUACUCGGAUAAGAAGCCCCGGCUAACUUCGUGCCAGCAGCCGCGGUAAUACGAAGGGGGCUAGCGUUGUUCGGAAUUACUGGGCGUAAAGCGUAUGUAGGCGGGUCGUUUAGUUAGGGGUGAAAUCCCAAGGCUCAACCUUGGAACUGCCCUUAAUACUGACGGUCUUGAGUCCGGAAGAGGUAAGUGGAACUGCGAGUGUAGAGGUGAAAUUCGUAGAUAUUCGCAAGAACACCAGUGGCGAAGGCGGCUUACUGGUCCGGUACUGACGCUGAGAUACGAAAGCGUGGGGAGCAAAC